UAAGGAAUAUUGGUCAAUGGACGCAAGUCUGAACCAGCCAUGCCGCGUGAAGGAUGAAGGUCCUCUGGAUUGUAAACUUCUUUUAUCUGGGACGAAAACGGGAUUUUUAUCUCAAUUGACGGUACCAGAGGAAUAAGCACCGGCUAACUCCGUGCCAGCAGCCGCGGUAAUACGGAGGGUGCGAGCGUUAUCCGGAUUUACUGGGUUUAAAGGGUGCGUAGGUGGGCUUAUAAGUCAGUGGUGAAAUCUCCGAGCUUAACUUGGAAACUGCCGUUAAUACUAUAGGUCUUGAAUUAUCUGGAGGUAAGCGGAAUAUGUCAUGUAGCGGUGAAAUGCUUAGAUAUGACAGAGAACACCAAGUGCGAAGGCAGCUUACUACAUAUAAAUUGACGCUGAGGCACGAAAGC
rnacentral:rRNA from 1 species